rnacentral:rRNA from 1 species
GGGCCCGCACAAGCGGCGGAGCAUGCUGAUUAAUUCGAUGCAACGCGAAGAACCUUACCUGGGUUUGACAUAUACCGGAAAGCUGCAGAGAUGUAGCCCCCUUUUGGUCGGUAUACAGGUGGUGCAUGGCUGUCGUCAGCUCGUGUCGUGAGAUGUUGGGUUAAGUCCCGCAACGAGCGCAACCCUCGUCCUAUGUUGCCAGCACGUAAUGGUGGGGACUCAUAGGAGACUGCCGGGGUCAACUCGGAGGAAGGUGGGGAUGACGUCAAGUCUUCAUGCCCCUUAUGUCCAGGGCUUCAAGCAUGCUACAAUGGCCGGUACAAAGGGCUGCGAAACCGCAAGGUGGAGCGAAUCCCAAAAAGCCGGUCUCAGUUCGGAUUGGGGUCUGCAACUCGACCCCAUGAAGUCGGAGUCGCUAGUAAUCGCAGA